AGCUCAAAUUUGAAAUCUGGCGCAAGCCCGAGUUGUAAUUUGUAGAGGAUGCUUCUGGGUAGCGGCCGGUCUAAGUUCCUUGGAACAGGACGUCAUAGAGGGUGAGAAUCCCGUAUGUGACUGGCUUGCACCCUCCACGUAGCUCCUUCGACGAGUCGAGUUGUUUGGGAAUGCAGCUCUAAAUGGGAGGUAAAUUUCUUCUAAAGCUAAAUACCGGCCAGAGACCGAUAGCGCACAAGUAGAGUGAUCGAAAGAUGAAAAGCACUUUGGAAAGAGAGUUAAAAAGCACGUGAAAUUGUUGAAAGGGAAGCGCCCGCAACCAGACUUUGCGGCAGUGUUCCGCCGGUCUUCUGACCGGUCUACUCGCUGUCGUGAGGCCAUCAUCGUCUGGGACCGCUGGAUAAGACCUUAGGAAUGUAGCUCCCUUCGGGGAGUGUUAUAGCCUCUGGUGAUGCAGCGCGUCUCGGGCGAGGUCCGCGCUUCGGCAAGGAUGAUGGCGUAAUGGUUGUCGGCGGCCCGUCUUGAAACACGGACCAAGGAGUCUAACAUCUAUGCGAGUGUUCGGGUGUCAAACCCCUACGCGUAAUGAAAGUGAACGGAGGUGGGAACUUUUUGUGCACCAUCGACCGAUCCUGAUGUCCUCGGAUGGAUUUGAGUAAGAGCAUAGCUGUUGGGACCCGAAAGAUGGUGAACUAUGCCUGAAUAGGGUGAAGCCAGAGGAAACUCUGGUGGA
rnacentral:rRNA from 1 species